GAGUGAACGCUGGCGGUAGGCCUAACCCAUGCAAGUCGAACGGCAGCACAGUAAGAGCUUGCUCUUACGGGUGGCGAGUGGCGGACGGGUGAGGAAUACAUCGGAAUCUACUUUUUCGUGGGGGAUAACGUAGGGAAACUUACGCUAAUACCGCAUACGACCUACGGGUGAAAGCAGGGGAUCUUCGGACCUUGCGCGAUUGAAUGAGCCGAUGUCGGAUUAGCUAGUUGGCGGGGUAAAGGCCCACCAAGGCGACGAUCCGUAGCUGGUCUGAGAGGAUGAUCAGCCACACUGGAACUGAGACACGGUCCAGACUCCUACGGGAGGCAGCAGUGGGGAAUAUUGGACAAUGGGCGCAAGCCUGAUCCAGCCAUACCGCGUGGGUGAAGAAGGCCUUCGGGUUGUAAAGCCCUUUUGUUGGGAAAGAAAAGCAGCAGGUUAAUACCCCGCUGUUCUGACGGUACCCAAAGAAUAAGCACCGGCUAACUUCGUG
rnacentral:rRNA from 1 species